UACGAAGGGGCUAGCGUUGUUCGGAUUUACUGGGCGUAAAGCGCACGUAGGCGGAUCGUUAAGUCGGGGUGAAAUCCUGGAGCUCAACUCCAGAACUGCCUUCGAUACUGGCGAUCUUGAGUCCGGAAGAGGUGAGUGGAACUCCGUAGUGUAGAGGUGGAAUUCGUAGAUAUUAGGAAGAACACCAGUGGCGAAGGCGGCUCACUGGCCGGUACUGACGCUGAGGUGCGAAAGCGUGGGGAGCAAACAG
rnacentral:rRNA from 1 species